rnacentral:rRNA from 1 species
UUCCGUAGGUGAACCUGCGGAAGGAUCAUUACAGAGAACAUAUCGCCCUCACGGGUGACUCUCCAACCCUAUGUUAUUAUACCUUUGUUGCUUUGGCGAGCCGCCUCGGCCACCGGCUCACGCUGGUGAGUGCUCGCCAGAGGACCCCAAACCCUGAAUGUUAGUGUCGUCUGAGUACUAUAUAAUAGUUAAAACUUUCAACAACGGAUCUCUUGGUUCUGGCAUCGAUGAAGAACGCAGCGAAAUGCGAUAAGUAAUGUGAAUUGCAGAAUUCAGUGAAUCAUCGAAUCUUUGAACGCACAUUGCGCCCUGUGGUAUUCCGCAGGGCAUGCCUGUUCGAGCGUCAGUACAACACUCAAGCUUGGCUUGGUAUUGAGCCCCGUCCGCAAGGGCCGGCUUUAAAAUCAAUGGCGGCGCCAUCUGGCUCUCAGCGUAGUAAUACUCCUCGCUCGUGAGUCCCGGUGGAUGCUGGCCAGCAACCCCCAACUUU